rnacentral:lncRNA from 10 species
CAGGGAGGUCACGGAAGCUCCAUGCCCCUUCUCCCCUACCUUGCCUUUGCCUCUCUUCAUCUGUAUCAUUUCUAACAUCUUUUAUAACAAACCAGUAAACAUAAAUGUUUCCCUGGGUUAUUUGACCCACUCCAGCAAAUUAAUUGAACCCAAAGAGGGAGUUAUGAAAACCCCAACUUGAAGCUGAUUGGUCAGAAAUUCUGGAGGCCUGGAGUUGCAACUGACAUGUGAAGUAGGGGCAGUCUUGUGGGAAUGAAUCCUCAACAUGUGGGAUCUGAUGCUAUCUCCAGAAAAAUAACAGAUGCAGUCAAUAAGUGCUGCUCCCACCGAGACACCAAAAUAUCCCGUAAACCAACACACUCUGAGCAGAUCUUCGCAGUGAAACGCUGAGUCCACAGAGCGGCCACACAGACACGAGGCUGAAGAGGAAGGAAGCUGGGAACCCUGCGCGGGAGUGGUGAGUACAGACAGUGGAGAGUGAAGAACUGUCCCCAGAAUAUCUCCUCUGAACAGAAACAAGAGACCAGGUUGGCUGCAAGGCCACAGCCUCUUAUUAACAGGUGUAGCUAAGAUGGAAACAUUUGUUCCUGGAAACUGAGGUGACGAAAAGACCCAUCCCAUCCUAAGCUAGGGAUGGAGUAUCUUGACCUCACUCUGCCAAUCUGCCCUAGCUUCAAACUAUGGUCUCGCUGUGUGGCCUUAGGCAAAUUACUUGGCCUCCACAAAGCUCCAUCAACUCAUCUGUAAAAUGAAGAUAAAAAUAACCACCCUCAAGACUACUGUAUUUGAAAAAACAGGCAAUGCAUUUGUCACUCAAGAAGUAUUUGUUCCGAGUCCCCAUCCCUGUUUUCUUCAUACUUGCUGCAUACUUCAAAACCAGUAUUUCCAAACACUUCUCUCUGCUCCACAAAAGCUGUGUCUGUAAAAUCUUUCAGUGUCCUUCUUCUACCUUUAAUACCCUCCCUGAGAACAGGAACUCUUGGUUGUGGGAGACGAAUUCUAUGGAAAGGCUCCAGAACACAUGGAGCAUGUCAAAAAGGAGGCUUUAAGAACAUGAAAAUAACACUAAGUAUAUAUAUCACACACCCUCUUUAUAACAUAGAACUUAAAAGCUGAGUGCCAUCUCAAGAUAGAGCACAGGGUCCUUAUACAUUUCACACCAAGAAGGAGAGGAAGUCUUGGAAAGUUGAUCAGAGCAGAUUUGUGCUAGAACAAGUUCAGGAAGAUGUCAAGGACUUUGGAGUCUCUGUGCUCUUUCAACUCCUACAAAUGGACCUCCAGUGGCCUCAUCCACUGAGGCCGAUUGGCCCCCAGAGAGAGAUGCUAUGCAAGGGAUGAAGAAUCUUGAAGGGACUCUGCCAAUUCUACCAAUCAGUCACUUCACCAAGACUGUAGGGAGUUUGAAUAUGGGUUGUCAUGGUACACAUAGUAGGUAUUCAAGUAUUUGCGGAAUACAUGAAUGACACAAAAUAUAAUGGGCUUAAAUGUAACAAACUCCUUUAUGUUCGAAGAUAAUCAGCCAACCACAAUUGUGAUGCUGGUAUUACAAGUAUUGCUAUUUUGGUAAUUCACUGAAGAUUUUUGAAUAGGAUAUUGAAUGUCUAAUGGGAAGAAGGGGCUAAUUGGGAAGGCAAAAGACUCCUACAAGGGAAAGGUGAUAUCUUAAGACACACUUUGCAUGAAUAAUGCUUUUCUUUCUUGGUUGCAAACAACAGAAACAGACUUAUUUUAAGCAGAAAAGGGAUUGGAAGGGUACAGUAGUUUGCAGCCAAAGUCUGCUUAGGAGGUUGCCAAUAGCACUCUUGCCCCAGUCAAUAUCACACCACCAGACCUGAACAUAUAUAGGACCUCUGACUGAUCCUGCAACUUUGUUUCAUGCUCUUAAGACUCAAAGUCCUGAGUGUAAGCAUCAGUCUGACCACCUCAGAUUUUGGUCCCUGUUUCUGGAUCCAGUGACAGGUGACUUCUUACUUGCUAUUCUACUUCCAUAAAGAGGUAUAUAUUACCCUCCAUUCUUCUUGGCAUGAAGCAAAAUAGGAAGGGUAUUCUGACACUGAGAAGCCAAAACAACAAAUGUCCCUUGUACAUCCCUGCUGAAAGUGAACAGCUCUAAAGAGCUUUACUCUCAGCCGGGCGCAGUGGCUCAAGCCUGUAAUCCUAGCACUUUGGGAGGCCAACGCGGGUGGAUCAUGAGGUCAGGAGAUCGAGACCAUCCUAACAUGAUGAAACCCCGUCUCUACUAAAAAUACAAAAACAAAAUUAGGAAGGCGUGGUGGCGGGAACCUGUAGUCCCAGUUAACUUGGGAGGCUGAGCCGGAAGAAUGGUGUGAACCCGGGAGGCGGAGCUUGCAGUGAGCUGAGAUGGUGCCGCUGCACUCCAGCCUGGGCAACAGAGCGAGACUCUUGUCUCUAAAAACAAAAAAAGCUUUACUCUCUUCAUCUCUUGCAACUAACCUGGGUGAACUUUAGUUUUCCUGGCCCUAUUUGCCCCACUCAGCAAUGCCACCCUAACCUAUGCAUCAUUAGCAUGGAGGUCCUGUCAACACAGAGAAGUCAAUGUACUCUUUUUCAAAGUGGAGGAGACAUUGUGAGAAUCAGAGUGAUGUAUCCGUAUCUUCAAUGUUUGACAACUCUGUUUUGCUCCUUAAAUGAACUGGACAGACUCCAUUCAUAUUUGGAAAAGUCCAUUUUUAAAAUGAUAGUUCUAUCAUAGUUUUAGCUUUGAGAAAAUUCAACUUAUUUAGACAUAUAAUUUAGGAUUUUUUUGGCGGGGGGAGAGAGGGAGCUUAAAGGCCCUCCCACUGUUUGAUUAUCCCUCUCCCAUACCCAGCACUCAAUUUUCUUCCCUCUGACACUUUCUGCUGUAGCCAGAUGCAUUGUUUCACCAACUUACCCUCCCAGGAUUGUUUGGUUAUAAUGAACUCUUUCACUGGUUCUCAAUUUGUUUUUGCUAUUUUUGACCAUUAAUUUUUUCCGGUUCAAGAAUAAUUUUAAACUAUGCAAAUAAGUAUGAAAUUAAGCAUAUAAUUGUGACAUCUGAGUGCUGACUGUGUACCAGGCACCAGCCUAAGAGCUUUACAUGCAUCACACCUCAUUUCAUCCUCAAAAUCUUGUCAUUUUACAGCUGGAGAAACAAAAGCCAAAAGCUUAAGCUUAAUCAAAGUAGGGGCUUGAAUUAAACUGCAAAAUACAAGAUUUGCUGGCAAUAAAUAAG